GGACCCGCACAAGCAGCGGAGCAUGUGGUUUAAUUCGAAGAUACGCGAAGAACCUUACCAAGGCUUGACAUCGUAUGCAAUCCAUAGAGAUAUGGAGUUCCUUCGGGACAUACAGACAGGUGGUGCAUGGUUGUCGUCAGCUCGUGUCGUGAGAUGUUGGGUUAAGUCCCGCAACGAGCGCAACCCUUAUCGAUAGUUGCCAAUAUUAAGUUAGGAACUCUAUUGAGACUGCCGUGGAUAACACGGAGGAAGGUGGGGAUGACGUCAAAUCAUCAUGCCCCUUACGUCUUGGGCUACACACGUGCUACAAUGGCUACUACAAAGAGCUGCGAAAUGGCAACAUGGAGCGAAUCUCAUAAAAGUAGUCUCAGUUCGGAUUGUGGGCUGCAACCCGCCCACAUGAAGCAGGAGUUGCUAGUAAUCCCGAAUCAGCAUGUCGGGGUGAAUGCGUUCCCGGGUCUU
rnacentral:rRNA from 1 species